AGACGCAAAUAUCCAUCGUAUUCGAAUAAAUUUACUUGUUAUCAUUUCUGAAGAUAAAUUUAUUUAAACAUUGCUUACAUUCCUUAUCUGGCGAUAAGAAGGAAUACUCAAUUAAACAAGCUAUUAUUUAUUAAACGAACGCGAGAUCAUUGUUGUUUUGGAGAUUUAAGCGCUCUUUUUCGACCAGACUGCCAAACUAACUCGACCACAUUUCUUCAUCUUAUUUAUGUCUAUUAGUUUUUCUCCAUUUUAAUCCAGACAUAAGUGUAUGUUCCUAACAGUUGUAAAUUUUUACUUUAAAUCCGUCUGCCAUCGUA
rnacentral:lncRNA from 1 species